rnacentral:rRNA from 1 species
ACCUACGGGGGGCAGCAGUGGGGGAUAUUGGACAAUGGGGGGGAACCCUGAUCCAGCGACGCCGCGUGAGUGAAGAAGUAUUUCGGUAUGUAAAGCUCUGUCCGCAGGGAAGAAAGCAAUGACGGUACCUGACCAUGAAGCCCCGGCUAACUACGUGCCAGCAGCCGCGGUAAUACGUAGGGGGCAAGCGUUAUCCGGAAUUACUGGGUGUAAAGGGAGCGUAGACGGCUGUGCAAGUCUGGAGUGAAAGGCGGGGGCCCAACCACCAGGCUGCUCUGGACACUGUAUGGC